AAAAUAUGUCCAACACAAGAGGCCCUCAGCUCUCAUCUGUCUGCCCAGCUGUUGGACAGGACAAGUUAAAAAAAAAAAAAAUGAUCAGAUAACAUGUACUGUGCUCAGAAAUCAAUGAGAGAUAUUGCAGCUCUAUAUUGUCAUUUGAUGUACAGAUUGAUUCAUUUAUAUUGCAUGUCUGACCAUUUUAUAAUGAACUACCAAGAAUAAUGUGUUUGUUUGAAAUAUAUGCAAUCAGACAGAUUCUAAAAGUGAGUUUGAACACUAACAAGAGUGUUUUGUGUGUUGUUGAGCAUGGCAUUGAAUGGAAUGAAACAGAAAUAAAGAUUUUCCACGGAAAAUGCCACAUCUGGUCCAGUCAUGUCAAUUCAUUCUAAAGUGGCUUCUGUCUAAGAUUACACAAAACUUUCAAUGGAAUAUUGUUGUUAAUGAUGUUCACUAAUAUAACAGCAAGUUUGAAGAAGAUUUACUGUAUAAAAUUAGAGAUAUUGUCAUUAUAGUCUCAUUCAGGCCUCCUCAUUUAUAGUCAGAGUGUAACAUGAAAACCACCCAAAAUGCCACUUUAUUAAAAGAUUACACAAAAGUUUCACUGGAGUAUUGUUGGUAAGGAUCUUAACUAAUAUAACAGCAAGUUUGAAGAUGAUUUACUAUAUAAAAUUAGAGAUAUUGCCAUUAUAGUCUCAUUCAGGCUGUCUCAUUCAUAGUCAGCAUAUAACAUGGCAAUAUCUCUACUUUUAUACAGUAAAUCUUCUUCAAACUUGCUGUGAUAUUAGUUAAGAUCCUUACCAACAAUAAUUCAGUGAAACUUUUGUGUAAUCUUUUAAUAAAGUGGCAUUUUGGGUGGUUUCCAUGUUAUAUACUGACUGAAUGAGACAGCCUGAAUGAGACUAUAAUGAAAAUAUCUCUAAUUUUAUACAGUACAUCUUCUUCAAACUUGCUGUUAUAUUAGUGAACAUCAUUAACAACAACAUUCCAUUGAAAGUUUUGUGUAAUUGUCACGGUGCCCCCGGCUGGGCCCUCUUCAUCAAGUCCACCUGCUGACAACGGCUGCUCCUCGUCAGCCUCAUCAGGACCCAGGCUCUUAAGGAGAACCAGGACCUGUACUCGACGCUAGUUCGUUGUACUCCACGGAUCCUACCUUCGUCUGGAAAUCAAGGCCACACUCACCUCUCGCUGCUUCCUGUCUUGGCGUCCCUCUGGCAUUCCUCUGGACCACGGUAUUCGCCCUCAAGAACCUCCAACCAUCUCCUUUGUAUUCUCUCCUGCAAAUUCUGUUUCCAGAAUUAAAUCUAUUAAUACUUAC